AAUCAACGCUGGCGGCGUGCCUCAGACAUGCAAGUCGAACGAUUAAAGCUCUCUUCGGAGAGUGUAUAGAGUGGCGCACGGGUGAGUAACACGUAAGUAAUCUACCCUCGAGUGGGGAAUAACAACCGGAAACGGUUGCUAAUACCGCAUAAUGCAGCGGCACCGCAAGGUGACAGUUGUUAAAGUUUAUCGCUUGAGGAGGAGCUUGCGGCAGAUUAGCUAGUUGGUAGGUAACGGCUUACCAAGGCUACGAUCUGUAACCGGUCUAAGAGGACGGUCGGUCACACUGACACUGAAUAACGGGUCAGACUCCUACGGGAGGCAGCAGUCGGGAAUAUUGGACAAUGGGGGCAACCCUGAUCCAGCGACGCCGCGUGUGUGAAGAAGGCCUGCGGGUUGUAAAGCACUUUUAGUGGGGAGGAAGGUCUGCGACCUAACACGUCGUGGAAUUGACUUAACCCACAGAAAAAGACACCGGCUAACUCUGUGCCAGCAGCCGCGGU
rnacentral:rRNA from 1 species